AAAGGGCCCGCCGCUCGGGCGCAGGAGGCGGUGCCUCUGGAGCAAGCGUGGGGCGCGGGAACCCGAGCAGGACUCUCCAGUCCUCAGUCACCUUGGAGAAAGAAGUGUGGAUCCUCAGAUUCCAUCUUUUCCAACUCCAAGGAGGGGGCUCCCUGCCUGAGAGCCUGCGGCGGGUCCAGGAGCUGACAGGCCGCUCUGUGGAGUUUGAGGAGGUGGACAUUUUGGACCAGGGAGCCCUACAGCGUCUCUUCAAAAAGGUGGGUGCAGGCUGGGCGUGGUGGCUCACGCCUGUAAUCCCAGCACUUUGGAAGGCCGAGGUGAGAUCAUCACUUGAGUCCAGGUGUUCAAGACCAGCCUGCUCAACACGGUGAAACCCCAUCUCUACAGAAGAAUACAAAAAUUAGCUGGGCAUGGUAGCCCAUACCUGUGGUCCCAGCUACUUGGGAGGCUGGCAUGGGAGGAUGGCUUGAGCCUGGGAGGUGGAGAUUGCAGUGAGCUGAGAUGGCACCACUGCACUCCAGCUUGGACAACAGAGCGAGACUGUCAAAAAAAAAAAAAAAAAAAAGGUGGGUGCAGGCAGGCAGGCCAGGGGCAUUGCCAAGGACUAAGACCAGUAGAGCAACCUCUGGCCAUGUCGCCCCCGCAGCACAGCUUUAUGGCAGUCAUCCACUUUGCGGGGCUCAAGGCCGUGGGCGAGUCGGUGCAGAAGCCUCUGGAUUAUUACAGAGUUAACCUGACCGGGACCAUCCAGCUUCUGGAGAUCAUGAAGGCCCACGGGGUGAAGAACCUGGUGUUCAGCAGCUCAGCCACUGUGUACGGGAACCCCCAGUACCUGCCCCUGGACGAGGCCCACCCCACGGGUGGUUGUACCAACCCUUAUGGCAAGUCCAAGUUCUUCAUCGAGGAAAUGAUCCGGGACCUGUGCCAGGCAGACAAGACUUGGAACGCAGUGCUGCUGCGCUAUUUCAACCCCACAGGUGCCCAUGCCUCUGGCUGCAUCGGCGAGGAUCCCCAGGGCAUACCCAACAACCUCAUGCCUUAUGUCUCCCAGGUGGCGAUCGGGCGACGGGAGGCCCUGAAUGUCUUUGGCAAUGACUAUGACACAGAGGAUGGCACAGGUGUCCGGGAUUACAUCCAUGUCGUGGAUCUGGCCAAGGGCCAUAUUGCAGCCUUAAGGAAGCUGAAAGAACAGUGUGGCUGCCGGAUCUACAACCUGGGCACGGGCACAGGCUAUUCAGUGCUGCAGAUGGUCCAAGCUAUGGAGAAGGCCUCUGGGAAGAAGAUCCCGUACAAGGUGGUGGCACGGCGGGAAGGUGAUGUGGCAGCCUGUUACGCCAACCCCAGCCUGGCCCAUGAGGAGCUGGGGUGGACAGCAGCCUUAGGGCUGGACAGGAUGUGUGAGGAUCUCUGGCGCUGGCAGAAGCAGAAUCCUUCAGGCUUUGGCACGCAAGCCUGAGGACCCUCCCCUACCAAGGACCAGGAAAAACAGCAGCUGCCUGCUCUCCAGCCUCUGGCAGGAACCCAGGGCCCUGGAGCUGCUGGGGCCAAGCCAAGGCCUCCCCUACCUCAAACCCCAGCUGGGCCCACUCAGCCCACCAGGCAUGAGGCCAAGGGCUCCACUGACCAGCAGGCCGAGGUCUCUAACUCUUAUCUUCCACAGGGUCCAAGAGUUCAUCAGGACCACCAAGAGUGAGUGAGGGGGCAAGGCUCUGGAACAAAACCUCCUCCUCCCAGGCACUCAUUUAUACUGCUCUGAAAGAGCUUUCCAAAGUAUUUAAAAAUAAAAACAAGUUUUCUUACACUGGG
rnacentral:sRNA from 1 species